rnacentral:rRNA from 1 species
UGGGGAAUAUUGCACAAUGGGCGAAAGCCUGAUGCAGCGACGCCGCGUGAGUGAUGAAGGCCUUCGGGUUGUAAAGCUCUGUCUUUUGGGACGAUAAUGACGGUACCAAAGGAGGAAGCCACGGCUAACUACGUGCCAGCAGCCGCGGUAAUACGUAGGUGGCAAGCGUUGUCCGGAUUUACUGGGCGUAAAGGAUGCGUAGGCGGAUUUUUAAGUGAGAUGUGAAAACCCUAAGCUUAACUUGGGGACUGCAUUUCAUACUGGAAAUCUAGAGUGCGGGAGAGGAGAAUGGAAUUCCUAGUGUAGCGGUGAAAUGCGUAGAGAUUAGGAAGAACACCAGUGGCGAAGGCGAUUCUCUGGACCGUAACUGACGCUGAGGCAUGAAAGCGUGGGUAGCAAACAGGAUUAGAUACCCUGGUAGUCCACGCCGUAAACGAUGAGUACUAGGUGUAGGAGGUAUCGACCCCUUCUGUGCCGCAGUUAACACAAUAAGUACUCCGCCUGGGAAGUACGAUCGCAAGAUUAAAAACUCAAAUGAAUUGACGGGGUC